rnacentral:rRNA from 2 species
UACGUAGGGGGCAAGCGUUAUCCGGAUUUACUGGGUGUAAAGGGAGCGUAGACGGCGAGGCAAGUCUGAUGUGAAAACCCGGGGCUCAACCCCGUGACUGCAUUGGAAACUGUUUUGCUUGAGUGCCGGAGAGGUAAGCGGAAUUCCUAGUGUAGCGGUGAAAUGCGUAGAUAUUAGGAGGAACACCAGUGGCGAAGGCGGCUUACUGGACGGCAACUGACGUUGAGGCUCGAAAGCGUGGGGAGCAAACAGG